rnacentral:rRNA from 1 species
AUUGAACGCUGGCGGCAGGCCUAACACAUGCAAGUCGAGCGGGGUUUUCGGACCUAGCGGCGGACGGGUGAGUAAUGCGUAGGAAGCUGCCCGAUAGAGGGGGAUACCAGUUGGAAACGACUGUUAAUACCGCAUAAUGUCUACGGACCAAAGUGUGGGACCUUCGGGCCACAUGCUAUCGGAUGCGCCUACGUGGGAUUAGCUAGUUGGUGAGGUAAUGGCUCACCAAGGCGACGAUCUCUAGCUGGUUUGAGAGGAUGAUCAGCCACACUGGAACUGAGACACGGUCCAGACUCCUACGGGAGGCAGCAGUGGGGAAUAUUGGACAAUGGGCGAAAGCCUGAUCCAGCCAUGCCGCGUGUGUGAAGAAGGUCUUCGGAUUGUAAAGCACUUUAAGUUGGGAGGAAGGUCUGUAAGCUAAUACCUUGCAGUCUUGACGUUACCAACAGAAUAAGCACCGGCUAACUCUGUGCCAGCAGCCGCAGUAAAAC